AGAAGAAGAAGAAGAAUCCAGCGCUACACCGUAACCAGAGCACAGUUAGCAUGUGUUGUUGUGCUAACGUAAGAAGAUGUAAUGUUAGAAAAUAUGUCAGCGUUUAGUUUGGUUCUUCUUCUUUGACUCUUACAUGACUACAAGCUACAACACCAACCACGUUUGUUGUCGACCGCCAUUAAAAACCAAAGAAAACUCUUGGAUGUGUGUUAAGAUGUCCGGGUUUCAGGAUCUUAAAAGAUUUCUUCAGAUGGUUAUCAGAGAUAUAUCAAAAACAACAACAUGUGGAUACGACAAAGAAAAGUGCUGGAUGUGAUUUUAACACCUGAAAUCAAGCUGCAGAGAGCAGCAGCUUCAAGAACAUCUUCAAGGACUGAAGGAGGCUGAUACCACCAUGUUCCCCUUCACUCCAACCUGAGACUGAAGACAGAAAAGAUGAUUUGAAGGAGACAAAAGAACAUCUGUCAGAUUCCAACACUGUGGAAAAGAUCAGAAACAAAAUAACUGAGACUGAUCAGAAAUCACAUAGCUGCUCUGAGUGUGGUAAAACAUUAAAAAGGAAACUGAAUCUGACCAGACACAUUAGAAUUUACACAGGAGAGAACCCCUUCCGCUGCUCUGUUUGCUGUGUAAGAUUUAACCAAAAGGUGCAUUUGUCCAGACACAUGUUGGUUCACACAAGAGAGAAACCCUUAUGCUGCUCUGACUACGGUAAAAUAUUUAACCAUAAGCAAACUCUGAAACUUCACAUGGCACGCCGAAGAGUUCAGAAACUUCUCAGCUGCUCUGUUUCUGACCAAAGAUUGUCUUCGUCUUAUCAGUUAAAAGAAGACAAGUGUGUUGGAGGUCAGGCUUUAGAGUUUAAUCAAAAUCAAACUGAGGAGAAAAGAGAGGUAGAAACUGGAGUUGAUGGAGAGGACUGUGGAGGAGCAGAACCAGAGAGGGACUCAGAUCCAGAGAGACGUUUACAACCAGAGAUUGAGGUCAAGAUUGAAGACUGUUAUGAACCCAAGACAGAAGACAGUGUUGAUUGGAAGGAGACCAGAGGAUAUUAUUCAGAUUUAACCUCUGUGGAAAACAUAACAAAUAAGAGACCAAAGACUGAUAAGAAAUCACACGGCAAGUGUGAUAAAACAUUCAGAAGUAAAAGGAAUCUUGCCACACAUACCAGAAUUCACACAGGAGAGAAACCCUUCAGCUGCUCUUUUUGUAGUAAAAGAUUUAACCAGAUAGGGCAUCUGACCUCACACAUGUCGGUUCAUACGCGGGAGAAACUGUACAGCUGCUCUUUAUGCAGUCAAAAAUUUAAACAUAAUACUAGUCUGACACGUCACAUUGCACAACACAGGGGAUAAUCUGUUUAGCUGCUCUGUUUGCAAUGAAAUAUUUAACCGAAAGGCCAAUUUAACACGUCACAUGGCCAAUCACAGUGUAGAGAAACCAUUUAGCUGCUCUGAUUGUGAUCAAAUUUUUUCUUGGUCUCAUCAGUUAAAAAAACACAAAUGUUUUGGAAGUCAGAAUGCAGAGCUUCAUCAAAA